rnacentral:lncRNA from 1 species
AACUGGCUAAUCAUCAUUCUAUUGUAAGAAGUAAAGGAGGGCUUGGCAGCAUCCCUACAGUUCCAUGAGAGGAUCUUUAUAGGUUAGAAAGAGAGAGUGCUCCCAAACCCCCCUCGGUCACACAUGAUUUCUUUCUUGAAGAAUCCUCAACAGACGUACAACUUCUAGAAAUGUUUUCUAAGGUAAAUUGAAGUUGAUUGAAGCAUGAAGAAAAAUCAUGAGAGAAUUUAUCCUGAUGAGUGCGGAACUUGGGUUAGAAGGAGCCUCAGAUGACGAGCUAAAAGCUUGCACAUCUUGCUGGUUGACAGUAUGCAUGGUAUAAAGGAUCCCACCAGUCUCCAUACUUCCUUGCAAGAGCUCGUCUGUUUUGUAACUAAAGCAUUGGUAGAUUGCAACUGGAUCUCCUCCUCUUCGGUGACUCCUCGAGAAUUAUAACUUUAGAAAUAGGGGGGAGACCCACCUAGAUGAAUGGUUAACCAAUGGCAUCUUAGUGAGAGAUAUUUUUUGCUUGUCCUUCAGAAUUAUCAAAUUUGAUGAAGCACGUGAGGUAACCACUAUGUCUAUACUUUGGGGUUCUGAAUGCUCCUCAGGAUCAUCAGUCGCCAACGGAGCAAAUCGGGAUCUGGAUCCGCUUGCAUGGGGUUUGUCAGCACCAACAGGUGCAGAUUCAAGUGAGGAUUAGAAAUUUUCUUAGGAAGGGACCAUGCAUCUGAAGACUGUCCACUAGCAAAACCAAAAGAAGGGUUUUUGAUUGACUCUUUUAUUGCCCCCAAAGUAAUUGGUACCCUGGCCAUCCAAAUCCAAGGACCAUAAAAUUGUUUGGACUCCUAAAUCUUUGCACAACUAUAGGAUUUCAUAGUUCUUCUGAGAAGUCCGUAGGAGUAGCACAAAUCCGACAGCUCUUCAUAACUGAAUUGCUGCCAUAUAAAAUUAUCCUUC